rfam:Triticum aestivum genome assembly, contig: Triticum_aestivum_CS42_TGACv1_scaffold_146191_2BS
GUGCUACUCCCUCUGUCCGAAAAUAUUUAUCAUCAAAAUUGAUAAAAAGAGAUGUAUCUAAAACUAAAAUACAUUUAUAUACAUUUUCUUUUAUCCAGUUUAAAGACAAGUAUUUUCGGACGGCGGGAGUAGAGU